GAGAGCCGGAUGCCGUGAACGUGGCACGUCCGGUUCGGUGGGGGGGAGUUGGAAAAGUACCGGCUUGACCGGCAACUCGCUGGCUACCUACCCGAC
rfam:Bacterium TASB270 DNA, scaffold: TASB270_scaffold_5.